rnacentral:tRNA from 1 species
UGGCUCAGAUGGUGAAGCAUCUGCCUACAAUGCAGGAGACCAGGGUUCAAUCCCUG